CGCGCUAAUUUCGACCUCUGUCUUCCAGUACAGACUCAACGAAACCCGC
rfam:Pelobacter acetylenicus strain DSM 3247 genome.